AAAAAAACCUAGAGGCUCUUAAGAGCCUGUGUCGCUCACCUUAGUCUAUGUGCAUAUUAAACAAAGGACACAGAUGGAUUCAUGACAAAAUUGUGUUUUGGUGAUGGUGAUGUGUUUGUAGAUCUUACUUUACUGAACAUUCUUGCUUCUUACAAUUAUCUCAUUAUCUCAAUUUAUAAUGAACUUGGCCCAUUAGUUACAGAGGAAAAUAUUUUGUUAAAAUUUACAAAAAUUUACAAAAUUUACAAAAUUAUUAAAAAUUGACUAUAAAGGGCAAUAACUCCUUAAGGGGUCAACUGACCUUUUUGGUCAUGUUGACUUAUUUGUGGAUAUUACUUUGCUGAACAUUAUUGCUGUUUACAGUUUUUCUCUAUCUAUAAUAAUAUUCAAGAUAAUAACCAAAAACAGCAAAAUUUCCUUAAUAAUUUCCAAUUCAGGGGCAGCAACCCAACAACCAGUUGUUGGAUUCAUCUGAAAAUUUCAGGGCAGAUAGAUCUUGACUUGCAAAACAAUUUAAC
rnacentral:lncRNA from 1 species